CCUACGGGUGGCUGCAGUGGGGAAUAUUGCACAAUGGGCGCAAGCCUGAUGCAGCCAUGCCGCGUGUGUGAAGAAGGCCUUCGGGUUGUAAAGCACUUUCAGCGGGGAGGAAGGCGGUGAGGUUAAUAACCUCAUCGAUUGACGUUACCCGCAGAAGAAGCACCGGCUAACUCCGUGCCAGCAGCCGCGGUAAUACGGAGGGUGCAAGCGUUAAUCGGAAUUACUGGGCGUAAAGCGCACGCAGGCGGUCUGUCAAGUCGGAUGUGAAAUCCCCGGGCUCAACCUGGGAACUGCAUUCGAAACUGGCAGGCUAGAGUCUUGUAGAGGAGGGUAGAAUUCCAGGUGUAGCGGUGAAAUGCGUAGAGAUCUGGAGGAAUACCGGUGGCGAAGGCGGCCCCCUGGACAAAGACUGACGCUCAGGUGCGAAAGCGUGGGGAGCAAACAGGAUUAGAUACCCCAGUAGUC
rnacentral:rRNA from 1 species